AACGAACGCUGGCGGCAUGCCUAACACAUGCAAGUCGAACGAGAUCUUCGGGUCUAGUGGCGCACGGGUGCGUAACGCGUGGGAAUCUGCUCUUUGGUUCGGAAUAACAGUUGGAAACGCCUGCUAAUCCCGGAUGAUGACGAAAGUCCAGAGAGUUAUCGCCAGAGGAUGAGCCCGCGUAGGAUUAGCUAGUUGGUGUGGUAAAGGCGCACCAAGGCGACGAUCCUUCGCUGGUCUGAGAGGAUGAUCAGCCACACUGGGACUGAGACACAGCCCAGACUCCUACGGGAGGCAGCAGUGGGGAAUAUUGGACAAUGGGCGAAAGCCUGAUCCAGCAAUGCCGCGUGAGUGAUGAAGGCCUUAGGGUUGUAAAGCUCUUUUACCCGGGAUGAUAAUGACAGUACCGGGAGAAUAAGCUCCGGCUAACUCCGUGCCAGCAGCCGCCGUAA
rnacentral:rRNA from 1 species